rnacentral:rRNA from 1 species
AACGAACGCUGGCGGCAGGCUUAACACAUGCAAGUCGAGCGCCCCGCAAGGGGAGCGGCAGACGGGUGAGUAACGCGUGGGAAUCUACCCAUCUCUACGGAGUAACGCAUGGAAACGUGUGCUAAUACCGUAUACGUCCUUCGGGAGAAAGAUUUAUCGGAGAUGGAUGAGCCCGCGUUGGAUAAGCUAGUGGGUGGGGUAAAGGCCUACCAAGGCGACGAUCCAUAGCUGGUCUGAGAGGAUGAUCAGCCACACUGGGACUGAGACACGGCCCAGACUCCUACGGGAGGCAGCAGUGGGGAAUAUUGGACAAUGGGCGCAAGCCUGAUCCAGCCAUGCCGCGUGAGUGAUGAAGGCCCUAGGGUUGUAAAGCUCUUUCACCGGUGAAGAUAAUGACGGUAACCGGAGAAGAAGCCCCGGCUAACUUCGUGCCAGCCGCCGCCGUAACAC